GGGUAAAUAGUUUAAUUAGAAUGGUAUUUUUGUAAAGUAUCGGUGUUGUUGUAGUUUCUGUGAGACUUUGCCCU
rnacentral:tRNA from 1 species